rnacentral:rRNA from 1 species
CGUUUAGAUUGAAGGAGCUUGCUCCUGAUUGAUAAACAUUUGAGUGAGUGGCGGACGGGUGAGUAACACGUGGGUAACCUGCCCUAAAGUGGGGGAUAACAUUUGGAAACAGAUGCUAAUACCGCAUAAAACCUAACACCGCAUGGUGUAGGGUUGAAAGAUGGUUUCGGCUAUCACUUUAGGAUGGACCCGCGGUGCAUUAGUUAGUUGGUGAGGUAAAGGCUCACCAAGACCGUGAUGCAUAGCCGACCUGAGAGGGUAAUCGGCCACACUGGGACUGAGACACGGCCCAGACUCCUACGGGAGGCAGCAGUAGGGAAUCUUCCACAAUGGACGAAAGUCUGAUGGAGCAACGCCGCGUGAGUGAAGAAGGUUUUCGGAUCGUAAAACUCUGUUGUUGGAGAAGAAUGUAUCUGAUAGUAACUGAUCAGGUAGUGACGGUAUCCAACCAGAAAGCCACGGCUAACUACGUGCCAGCAGCCGCGGUAAUACGUAGGUGGCAAGCGUUGUCCGGAUUUAUUGGGCGUAAAGCGAGCGCAGGCGGUUUCUUAAGUCUGAUGUGAAAGCCUUCGGCUCAACCGAAGAAGUGCAUCGGAAACUGGGAAACUUGAGUGCAGAAGAGGACAGUGGAACUCCAUGGUGUAGCGGUGAAAUGCGUAGAUUUAUGGAAGAACACCAGUGGCGAAGGCGGCUGUCUGGUCUGUAACUGACGCUGAGGCUCGAAAGCAUGGGUAGCAAACAGGAUUAGAUACCCUGGUAGUCCAUGCCGUAAACGAUGAGUGCUAGGGUUGUUGAAGGGUUUCCGCCCUUCAGUGCCGCAGCUAACGCAUUAAGCACUCCGCCCGGGGGAGUACGACCGCAAGGUUGAAACUCAAAGGAAUUGACGGGGGCCGCACAAGCGGUGGAGCAUGGUGGUUUAAUUCGAAGCAACGCGAAGAACCUUACCAGGUCUUGACAUCCUUUGACCACUCUAGAGAUAGAGCUUUCCCUUCGGGGACAAAAUGACAGGUGGUGGCAUGGUUGUCGUCACCUCCUGUCGUGAGAAGUUUGUGUUAAUUCCCGCCACCAGCGCACCCCUUAUUACUAGUUGCCGCCAUUUAUUUGGGGCGCCCCUUGGAACUGCCGGUGACAACCCGAGAGAAAGGUGGGG